GCGGAGGGCGCGUCAGCGCCCGGAGCGUAGCGGAGCCCAUUUCCUCAUUAAAUAAGCCAAAUAUAAAAGAAAAAGGAAGUACGGUGGAGAGUAUAUAGGAUUUCUAUACGAUUUCGUCCCUAUACAUCAAAUUUAUAAAAAAUUCUGCCAUUUUAUCAGUGUUGCCCAGUAAUUUUAUCUGGUCAUUUGUUGGUAAAUUUUCGUAAAUAUCUGAUUGAGCGAGACAACGUGUUUUUGGCACGGCGAUGGAGUUUUUGUUGUGUUUUAAAGAUGGUGCUAAACGUAGUCAGCCAGCUAGAAGCGAAAUGAUGAGAUUUUUCAAGAAAGAAGUGGAGGUUAUGAUCACUGUUUUUUAAAGAGAUGAAGUAGAAGAAGAGGAAGAAGUGACUGACGUCGGUCGUCUACGACAGACGUGAAGCUACAACUUCAAAAGUUAACAUAAGUAACAUAUGGUGUGCAGAGAGUACAAGUUUUGACUCAUUUUGGUUAUAUAUUUUUAUAUUUUGAUUUGUUUUUUGCUGUUGUGGUUAAUAUUGCAGUUCUGAAACACUUGUAUAAAGAAAACUAAAUUUUGAUGUUCUUAUAUAUCAGACUUUCUGUACAUGUGUGGCUAUAAUGUGCAACUAUAAAAGUAUAUAUGCAUUCAUGCCCUGUUGGUCUAAUGGCUAUGACACUUUUAUAAAUGAGAGAUCUAAGUUCGAAUCCUGGACAGGGCUAGGAAAAACAUUAAUUAUGUUGCACAUAUAGCUAUAUAUUGCAGUAUUAAGGAUAUUAUAUUCCGUAUACUAUGAUGUAUAUAUAUA